rnacentral:rRNA from 1 species
CGGAGGAUCCAAGCGUUAUCCGGAUUUAUUGGGUUUAAAGGGUGCGUAGGCGGAAUUGUAAGUCAGUGGUGAAAGCCCUUCGCUUAACGAAGGAACUGCCAUUGAUACUGCAAAUCUUGAGUACAUUUGAUGAGGGCGGAAUGUGUCAUGUAGCGGUGAAAUGCUUAGAUAUGACACAGAACACCGAUUGCGAAGGCAGCUCUCAAAACUGUAACUGACGCUGAGGCACGAAAGCGUGGGUAUCAAACAGGAUUAGAUACCCUGGUAGUCCACGCUGUAAACUAUGAUUACUAGGUGUGGGAGGUAUCGACCCCUUCCGUGCCGCCGUUAACACAAUAAGUACCCCGCCUGGGGAGUACGGUCGCAAGAUUA